rnacentral:rRNA from 1 species
GGUCAAGUGAAGAAGCGCAUACGGUGGAUGCCUUGGCAGUCAGAGGCGAUGAAAGACGUGGUAGCCUGCGAAAAGCUUCGGGGAGUCGGCAAACAGACUUUGAUCCGGAGAUGUCUGAAUGGGGGAACCCAGCCAUCAUAAGAUGGUUAUCUUGUACUGAAUACAUAGGUGCAAGAGGCGAACCAGGGGAACUGAAACAUCUAAGUACCCUGAGGAAAAGAAAUCAACCGAGAUUCCCUUAGUAGUGGCGAGCGAACGGGGACUAGCCCUUAAGUGGCUUUGAGAUUAGCGGAACGCUCUGGAAAGUGCGGCCAUAGUGGGUGAUAGCCCUGUACGCGAAAAAUCUCUUAGUCAUGAAAUCGAGUAGGACGGAGCACGAGAAACUUUGUCUGAAUAUGGGGGGACCAUCCUCCAAGGCUAAAUACUACUGACUGACCGAUAGUGAACUAGUACCGUGAGGGAAAGGCGAAAAAGAACCCCCGGAGAGGGGAGUGAAAUAGAUCCUGAAACCGUAUGCGUACAAGCAGUGGGAGCAGACUUUGUUCUGUGACUGCGUACCUUUUUGUAUAAUGGGUCAGCGACUUAUUUUCAGUGGCGAGCUUAACCGAAUAGGGGAGGCGUAGCGAAAGCGAGUCUUAAUAGGGCGUCUAGUCGCUGGGAAUAGACCCGAAACCGGGCGAUCUAUCCAUGGGCAGGUUGAAGGUUAGGUAACACUGACUGGAGGACCGAACCGACUACCGUUGAAAAAGUUAGCGGAUGACCUGUGGAUCGGAGUGAAAGGCUAAUCAAGCUCGGAGAUAGCUGGUUCUCCUCGAAAGCUAUUUAGGUAGCGCCUCAUGUAUCACUGUAGGGGGGUAGAGCACUGUUUCGGCUAGGGGGUCAUCCCGACUUACCAAACCGAUGCAAACUCCGAAUACCUACAAGUGCCGAGCAUGGGAGACACACGGCGGGUGCUAACGUCCGUCGUGAAAAGGGAAACAACCCAGACCGUCAGCUAAGGUCCCAAAGUUAUGGUUAAGUGGGAAACGAUGUGGGAAGGCUUAGACAGCUAGGAGGUUGGCUUAGAAGCAGCCACCCUUUAAAGAAAGCGUAAUAGCUCACUAGUCGAGUCGGCCUGCGCGGAAGAUGUAACGGGGCUCAAACCAUACACCGAAGCUACGGGUAUCACGUAAGUGAUGCGGUAGAGGAGCGUUCUGUAAGCCUGUGAAGGUGAGUUGAGAAGCUUGCUGGAGGUAUCAGAAGUGCGAAUGCUGACAUGAGUAACGACAAUGGGUGUGAAAAACACCCACGCCGAAAGACCAAGGUUUCCUGCGCAACGUUAAUCGACGCAGGGUUAGUCGGUCCCUAAGGCGAGGCUGAAAAGCGUAGUCGAUGGAAAACAGGUUAAUAUUCCUGUACUUCUGGUUAUUGCGAUGGAGGGACGGAGAAGGCUAGGCCAGCUUGGCGUUGGUUGUCCAAGUUUAAGGUGGUAGGCUGGAAUCUUAGGUAAAUCCGGGAUUCUAAGGCCGAGAGCUGAUGACGAGUUGCCUUUAGGCGACGAAGUGGUUGAUGCCAUGCUUCCAAGAAAAGCUUCUAAGCUUCAGAUAACCAGGAACCGUACCCCAAACCGACACAGGUGGUUGGGUAGAGAAUACCAAGGCGCUUGAGAGAACUCGGGUGAAGGAACUAGGCAAAAUGGCACCGUAACUUCGGGAGAAGGUGCGCCGGUGAGGGUGAAGCACUUGCUGCGUAAGCCCACGCCGGUCGAAGAUACCAGGCCGCUGCGACUGUUUAUUAAAAACACAGCACUCUGCAAACACGAAAGUGGACGUAUAGGGUGUGACGCCUGCCCGGUGCCGGAAGGUUAAUUGAUGGGGUUAGCUAACGCGAAGCUCUUGAUCGAAGCCCCGGUAAACGGCGGCCGUAACUAUAACGGUCCUAAGGUAGCGAAAUUCCUUGUCGGGUAAGUUCCGACCUGCACGAAUGGCGUAACGAUGGCGGCGCUGUCUCCACCCGAGACUCAGUGAAAUUGAAAUCGCUGUGAAGAUGCAGUGUAUCCGCGGCUAGACGGAAAGACCCCGUGAACCUUUACUAUAGCUUUGCACUGGACUUUGAAUUUGCUUGUGUAGGAUAGGUGGGAGGCUUUGAAGCGUGGACGCCAGUUCGCGUGGAGCCAUCCUUGAAAUACCACCCUGGCAACUUUGAGGUUCUAACUCAGGUCCGUUAUCCGGAUCGAGGACAGUGUAUGGUGGGUAGUUUGACUGGGGCGGUCUCCUCCCUAAAGAGUAACGGAGGAGUACGAAGGUGCGCUCAGACCGGUCGGAAAUCGGUCGUAGAGUAUAAAGGCAAAAGCGCGCUUGACUGCGAGACAGACACGUCGAGCAGGUACGAAAGUAGGUCUUAGUGAUCCGGUGGUUCUGUAUGGAAGGGCCAUCGCUCAACGGAUAAAAGGUACUCCGGGGAUAACAGGCUGAUACCGCCCAAGAGUUCAUAUCGACGGCGGUGUUUGGCACCUCGAUGUCGGCUCAUCACAUCCUGGGGCUGAAGCCGGUCCCAAGGGUAUGGCUGUUCGCCAUUUAAAGUGGUACGCGAGCUGGGUUUAGAACGUCGUGAGACAGUUCGGUCCCUAUCUGCCGUGGACGUUUGAGAUUUGAGAGGGGCUGCUCCUAGUACGAGAGGACCGGAGUGGACGAACCUCUGGUGUUCCGGUUGUCACGCCAGUGGCAUUGCCGGGUAGCUAUGUUCGGGAAAGAUAACCGCUGAAAGCAUCUAAGCGGGAAACUUGCCUCAAGAUGAGAUCUCACUGGAACCUUGAGUUCCCUGAAGGGCCGUCGAAGACUACGACGUUGAUAGGUUGGGUGUGUAAGCGCUGUGAGGCGUUGAGCUAACCAAUACUAAUUGCCCGUGAGGCUUGACCAU